AACAUUUGUAAAUAAAUUGUAUGUUUUAAGUUUAGCUCGUAAAUACAUAUAUCUUCUGUUAUUAUUUUUUGAAAAGUAAUUUUCUUUCGCGUUGUUAAUAGAACAUACUCUUUUGUGUUGAUGUUAAUAAUUUUUUUUUUUUUUUUUUUUUUUUAAAAAAAUUAAAGCAACAUUGUAUCUUUUAUUACCUCUUUUUUUUAUUAUUUUUUUUUUUUUUUUUUUAAUACAAGCGGUAUAUCGUUUUAGCUAUUUGCCAAAAAAAACGAAAAGGAAAAAAAUGUAUAAGUUUUUUUUUUUUUUUUUUUUUUUUUUUAACUUACGCACGUAUUAUAUUUAUAGGCUGCCUUAUUAUUUGAUAACAUUACUUGUUUAUUAAAAUAACACCGGGUAUUACAAGUACAUGUUAAAAUAGGUAAUUUAUCUAUGGCAAUAUAAACAAUAAGAAGCGCACAAAAAAAGUUACAAACAACCUGUGCCCAUUAUAUGUUUUACACUUGUCACUUGACUACAAAAAAAAAAAAAAAAAAAAAAAAUUACAUACGUACAUACAUACAUACAUACAUACAUACAAAAUGAACGACACAAAAACACGAAUAAACAGCAAAGUAAAAAAAAAUUUAUACGAAACAUACUGCAACAAAAACCCUACCAAUGAUAUAGCAGAAGCUAUCAGUUACAUUAAACAAAAUGAGUUUUUCCAAAGAUAUUCUGACUCUCUUAUUGGUCUAGAGCCAAUUUAUAAGCAUUCCAAAAAACGAAAGCAGAAAAGUGAGAGCAAACUAGCAGAAAAAAUUAAGGAAAUAUUAAAAAAAGAAACUGAGUAUAUAAAAAAAUACUUAAAUAAAAGUAAAAAAAAGGAUAAAGAUAAUAGAGGGAAACGCAAGCAAGACGCGAAACACAUACAAGAUACUCAGGACACAAAACAUACGAAAGGAACAAAAGAAACGAAGGGAACAAAACAUACGAAAGGCACAAAACACACAAAGGAAGAAAAGGGACUAAUGCACAUAUAUAACCUAUUCGAAUCCGUGCUAAACAAUAAAAACGAACAAACCUGCAGCAAUGGAAAAUAUUUAAUUAUAACUAAAUCAAAUAAUAGUAUAAAAAAGAUAUACAUGGAUGAUAUGAAGGAAUUGUUAACUGAAGUUAUAUACAUAGUAUUAACAGAAAGUGAAGAUAUCGAAAACAGUUUAUUAAAUUUAUUAGGUGCCCACUACAUCGAAAUUAUUAUUGAUAUUAUUAAAAAUAAAAAAGAAGUAGAAAAAGAUAUUACCUUAUUAAGUAAACACGUUGAUAUUAAAGAGGAUAUUCCUUUAGCCAAUUUUUUGAUUAAGAAUGUUACAAAAGAUAAAAAAGUGGACAAAAAAAAAACUACAUAUAAAAAAAUAAAUUUAGAAAAAAUUAUAGAAUACUUUUUAAACGCUUUAGAUGAUAAUACCAUAGGAAAUCAAAAACUAAUUUACAUACCAGAUGAAAAUAUUAAAUUACGAAAAAUUGCAGUACCACAAAAGACGACCUAUACACACACAAACAAUGUUACUAAAGUAAAAAUAGCGAAGCUACCAAAUUUUCAAUAUAACCAAAAUGAAUUAGUACCAGUGAAUAUUUUGCCUUUUUGGCAUAAAUAUAUUUUUGACUUUGAAUAUUUUAAUUAUAUACAAUCAAAAGUAUUUAAGGCAGCAUACGAAAGUAACAAAAAUUUGUUAGUAUCUGCUCCUACAGGUUGUGGUAAAACGAAUAUAGCCAUGUUGGUUGUAUUGCAGCAAAUUAUGUUGUUUUCUGACCAAAAUCACAUUGACUUGGAUCAAAUUGUUAAGUCUCAUUUGAUUAAAACGGGGGUGAUGCGCACGAACGGAAGUUCGACUCACGCAAAUGGUAGCUACAAAAAUGGUAACGACAAAAAUGGUAAUGACAAAAAUGGUAACGACAAAAAUGGUAAUGACAAAAAUGGCAACGACAAAAAUGGUAACGACAAAAAUGGCAACGACAAAAAUGGUAACGACAAAAAUGGCAACGACAAAAAUGGUAACGACAAAAAUGGCAACGACAAAAAUGGUAACGGCAAAAAUGGUAACAACAAAAAUGAUGAUAUUACGCAAAAAAAAGAAUACAUUUUAGAGGAUACUGAUUUUGCAUCCAAAAAAGAAUACUUUCCAGAGGAUAGUGAUGUUGCGCCAAAAACAGAAUACAUUUCAGAGGAUACCGAUUUUGCACCCAAAAAAGAAUACUUUCUAGAGGAUAGUGAUGUUGCACCAAAAAAAGAAUACAUUUCAGAGGAUACUGAUUUUGCACCAAAAAAAGAAUACUUUCCAGAGGAUAGUGAUGUUGCACCAAAAAAAGAAUACAUUUCAGAGGAUACUGAUUUUGCACCCAAAAAAGAAUACUUUCCAGAGGAUAGUGAUGUUGCGCCAAAAAAAGAAUACAUUUCAGAGGAUACCGAUUUUGCACCAAAAAAAGAGUACUUUCCAGAGGAUAGUGAUAUUGCGCCAAAAAAAGAAUACUUUCCAGAGGAUAUUGUGACUGAAGCAUCUGCACUGUCCGAUAACGACGACAUUAACAGCCUAAACUCGAACAUAAUAAUAAAACAAAACACUUAUAUAGAUGCUAAAGAAUUCAAAAUAAUUUAUAUCGCACCUAUGAAAUCGUUAGUGUACGAAAUAACCAA
rnacentral:lncRNA from 1 species